UCAAAGGCUUUUUUAAAAGCCGACAUAUCAUCUAAAAAUUUAU
rfam:Caldimicrobium thiodismutans DNA, complete genome.